AGUAUACUUUGAGAUUUCCUCAGAGUACACGUCUAUAACUACAGAGCGAUAGUAGUGUUGGAAUCUGAGUAUAAUGGGUAACUGUUGUGAUACCAGAGUCCUACCUCAAGAAUGUACUAACACACCCUUCUCAACUGAUGACCGUCCUCGGACAAAAUCCUCACUGACCGUGGGCUCCAGAAAACGCCGGAACAUAUUUAGAAUCAUAAGAAAUAUCCACCACAAGAAUCCUGUUGUUCCCAUGGAAGCUGAAGAACAUCAAGCCCCAACUUCCUCAUCUAUACAAAAACCACAAAAUGAAACAAAAGCUAAACAUGGUGACGGUACAACUUCAGAAGAGGACGAGGAAAAGUCACCACUGCGUAGGGUUAAGGUAGCUUCUAAAAGAAGCAGACAUAGGAUUCCGUUCUUGAGAAACAAGUGUCGGAGGGGCAGUCUCCUCCCAAUGGAUGCUCAAGAAUGUGACUUUAUAGAUACAAGUUGUGAAGGAAAACCACAAGACAACCUAGAAGUGGUAGCUGAAUGCUCUGAUGGUGCAGCUUUGUCAGUGGACAAGGGGAAAGGACCAGUGAAAAUGGCAGAGGCAACAUCGAAAAAACGAAGAUGUGUUUCUGCAAUCUUAAAGAAAUUUUCUCGAAGGCGAGUGGUGGCCCCCAUUAAACUGAGAAGACCUGUAGUCCUCCCUGGCACCUCCAAAGAAACAGCACCUGUCACAACAGAAGUGGUCCCUGAAAAUGCUGACAGUGCACCUUCAGCAAGGGGACAGAAAGAGCCACCAGUAGAGAUGAUGAAGGAGGAGACUAAAAAACGUAGACACAGUAUGUAUUAUAGAAUCUCUUAAGAUACAUUUUAGAAAGGAAUUGCAUAAACACUGGAUAUCCUUUUGUGAAGUGUAUAAUGGUGCUCUAGCUCACCUACUAGGAAGAACUUGUAUUCAAUUUUUUGAAUGACUUCUUUGUUUGUUUUGUUUGUUUGUUAGUGUUCAUUUUUUUUCUUAAGUAUUACCUUAACUUAAAAGAAAAACUGGAGGUGUUUGUCUACCAUAACUGGAUUCAAGUAUGAUCUCUCUAAGUUGUUUAAGAUGUGGUAUACCAGGCAGUGUCUAAAUCUGUUUUCCCUCAAGAUAGGUACCCUAAUUACCCAGUUCAAUCUCCAUUGACAAAGUAUUGAAGUAACAAAUUAGAGUACAGAGUUUACCUACAAAAUAUGAGUUGAAAGUUCAUCACAUGUGGUGCAUUCAUUUUUUUAUGGUGGUAGUCUAGUGAAGAAUAAGCCAGGGCACAAAGGUGAGUGAUGAGGCUCUCCAUGCAGAUCAACAGACACUUUGUGGAGCAAGGACUUAGUGAUGCCUAUAUUCCCAGCAUCUUCCUUCAGUAGGUCAAAAUCACAGAGAUCCCAGACUCUGCCUUGACUACCUCAGUGGGCAGAGCCAGGACAUUGCUCUCCAUCUGCCUGCACUCAUACAUCCACAAGCAUGAGAGGUAGAAAUCCCACACACUUUUAGGCAGACCACAGAUUCUGACAAUGGGAGCUCAACACUGUAUGAAGGGACAUUUUGUCACCUACAAUGACACCAAGCUGCCUUUCCAGUCUCCUCCAGUUGAGGGUUUAUCUAGGUCUGACCAGAUAAAGAAGCUGCCAUUUGCACACCUUCAUGUGAGAAUGGGGUUGCCCUGACUUGGAGUCUGAGUCAUCAGUGGGGCUCUGCAGGCUUUGGUGCCCUCCCGAUUCUGUUCCUCAGUGACCAGACUCAGUCACUGAGAGCCAGGUCACAGUGUAAGGAUGAUGGAGGAAGGCCCUGUUCACUGAUCCAGGAAUCCCACAACUUCUUUUGGGUUGAAAGGUAGAUUAUACCUUCAGUUGUAUCUGUCAGGGAAGAUGGCCACUGAUGCAUGAAUGCAGCUAUCAUUGUAACCUUGGGUGAAAAGUCAGAGGGUCUCACAGCUUGUUAACCUCUACAUCCCACUAAGGCAAUGCCAUACAUUGACCAUGAGAUGUAGCCGAUAAGAAUGAAGAGUAAACAAGUGUUGUACAAUGUUCUGGAAUACAUGCAUUCCUGAGUCCAGGUGCAGUUACUCCUAUGCAGCUGAGGUCUUCUGGCCUGUCACAGACAUCACAGGGCACUCCAGCAAUGCCUGUGGUUUCUCCUACAGUGUACACUAAAGAGAUUGAUCUGUUCUAGCCUAGUGAGUCUCAUGGGAAGUCCUUCUCAACCAACUAAGAAGGAAGUCUUUGUGUUGUAGUGAAGAGUUGGUGACUGAAGGCAUUGCAUGGGUGUGGCUGUGUGCUUGUGGCUCUAAGAAGGGUUAGAGUGAUGCCCAUUGGGCAGGAUACUCACACAGCAUGCUCAGUUGUGUGGCUCUUCCUUCUGUGUUUCCAUAUUCAUCUAUAUGUAGGCUUUAUCUAGGAUUCCUGUGAUGUCCAUUCAAUGCCUAACUCCUUGUACAUGACAUGCAGUGAUCCUCCUGAAGCACCAGUCUCACUCUGAUGACUGUACCUGGAACAAGCAGUCAGAUUAAAGGCACAAAUACUCAGUAGUCGUUAGUUUGCUUGAGUUUUCUUCCAAGAAGCUGACAUGAUUCCCUAUUAUAACUGCAUUCUCAGUUUUUUCUAUCUUAAGAGGAAUUUGUCAUAAGACAACUGUAGUCCCUCAGGACACGCAGAGACUUCCAGUCUCUAAGGCUACAUCUACAAAAGC
rnacentral:lncRNA from 1 species